rnacentral:rRNA from 1 species
UACGUAGGGGGCAAGCGUUGUCCGGAUUUAUUGGGCGUAAAGAGCGUGUAGGCGGCCGUACAGGUCAGCUGUGAAAACUCGAGGCUCAACCUCGAGACGUCGGUUGAAACCGUACGGCUAGAGUCCGGAAGAGGAGAGUGGAAUUCCUGGUGUAGCGGUGAAAUGCGCAGAUAUCAGGAAGAACACCCGUGGCGAAGGCGGCACUCUGGGACGGUACUGACGCUGAGACGCGAAAGCGUGGGGAGCGAACAGG